CACAUCUGUAACAAUCGUAGCCAAAAACACAGCCACCCACUCAUUUAACAUCUUUACUUAACUGAACACCAAAGAAGAACCCCCACCGUCUCAGCCGCCCCAGACCCAAGAUCCUCCCUUUGCCCACCGCCAUGGAUCCACCACCCACCACCACCCCCCCAAAGCUACGACUGAUGUGUAGCUACGGCGGCCACAUCAUCCCACGUCCACAAACUAAAUCACUCUACUACUCCGGAGGAGAAAACCGCAUAAUCACCAUCCCCCCCACCACCGCUCCCACCCUUACUCUCUCUUCUCUCACCACCCACCUCUCCACCUUCCUCCACCUCGGCACCCCAUUUGUUCUCAAAUACCAACUUCCCCAUCACGACCUUAACUCCCUCAUUUCCAUCUCAACGGAUGAUGAUCUCCAAAUCAUGUUAGAAGAGCGCAGCAGACUCUCUUCCACUGGUACUCCUUCACGUGUCAGAUUAUUUAUUUUUCCAGUUGUCAAUAGCGUCAACGCUGAGUUGAGUCAUCCGAAAAGGGAGAGUUGGUUUGUUGAUGCUUUGAGGAGUGCAAGAGUGGGGUUUGGAGGGGAAAUUAGUAGUGAACAAGAGUCUAUUGUUUUGGAAACUUCGUCUUCUUUUGGCUCCACUUCUUCUUCGCAUUCUUUGUCGAAUCUGCCUCCAAUUAAACCCUCAUCAGAUUCAAUACCAAGUGAUGAUCGUGUUGGGAGUGCUGUUUCUAAUGUGCGGACUGGAACUUGUCAAGACCAAGUUGCCCCCUUUGCUGCAAUGAAGAAUAAGGCCUCUUCGAACCCAUUUGAACCAGACAAUAAAGUUGCUGAUCCUUCCUCUGGGAUAGAGCUGCAUAAACCAAUUCAGGCGUCUGGGUCUCCAAUAAAUCUAGUGGAUCUACCGCAGCAACAAACACAAUUUGUUCUUGAGGGUACCCAUUACAUACCACAGAACAUGCCUGGAGUACAGCCAGUUACAUCAUAUUACCCAGUUUAUCAUCCACUGCCACCACAGCAACAGCACCUCCAUUACCAGUCAAAUCAACCUUACCCACUGUAUUACUUGCCAGUUGUGCCAACUCAGUCUUACAGUAUACCUAUGCAAUGUGGGAUGGUUCAGGCAUCCUCUUCCUCUAUUGGCUCUGGUCAGCCCCAAAUCCAUCCAAACGCUUCAUUGAUUCCACCUCAACGGGUUAUCAAGGAGGUUGCAGCAUUACUUCAACCUGUAGCUGACUUAACCUCACAGACAUACAAAAAUGUUCCAGGGCACCCACUUAUUCAUUUACCUUAUAAUGAAACAGAAACAAGGCCUGUUGGUGCUCAAAUUCAGCACAGCCCUCAAGCAUUUGGUGUUGCUGCUGGUGAAACAGCUAAUUGCACUAGCAAACUUGAUGAUGACCCUGCUCGUGUUCAAAUAUACAAAUCUCAGCCUCCACCACCCAUGUUGCCUUCGCAGUACCAAACCAUGACCAAAGCCACAACAUUACUUUUGUCUGAGGCUUUAGGGCAAUUGCAUACAGACGAUGCAAAGCAACAGAUUAGAACAUCAGAACCACAAUGAUCCUACUCUCCAACAGGGAACACAAUUUUGGUAGUGGUGUCUUCGUUACUUUUGGGUUGUUCUACCUUGGUCCUGAUUUUUGUAGUGAAGCUUCAUCAGAUUGGAGCUUUUGUACUCAAGAUACUAUUAUGGUCCCUGAUCAAUCCCAGCAGACAUACUGCAGCCACGACUUUAAUCAGUUUUAUAUAUGGGAGUUAAAGUCCCAGAAAUAAAAUGUCUCUUAGUGCUGCUUAUGAUGCUUUCUUUCACAUGAUGCAAGCUGGACAUUACAAGAGGAUAGCUAAUAUUAAUCUUUGUCUAUAUAGAGCACUCCCAAAUUGGCCUUGCUCAAACUCUGAUUUUUCAUAAACUCUGCUUUUCAUAAUUCGAAAUCAGCAUUUGUCUGCUAUUUCCUCAUGAAAACAGGUUUGAUUGACAGUCUUUAGACCUUCAGAGAAUGUUUAUGUUGCAAGCUUUUCUGUAACUCAAGAUACAAGCUCUGGGGAUUCUGUCUUGUUUGAUUGUAAGAAGUCCUGAAAACUGGUAUUACUCUACAUGAAUCAAGUGCAUCUGAAUGUUGGUUGUUCGUCGUUGGUCUUUCACAGAAACAUGCAGUGUUAUGAAU